rnacentral:rRNA from 1 species
ACGUACACUCCUGCGGGAGGCAGCAGUGGGGAAUCUUGCGCAAUGGGCGAAAGCCUGACGCAGCCAUGCCGCGUGAAUGAUGAAGGUCUUAGGAUUGUAAAAUUCUUUCACCGGGGACGAUAAUGACGGUACCCGGAGAAGAAGCCCCGGCUAACUUCGUGCCAGCAGCCGCGGAAAUACGAAGGGGGCUAGCGUUGCUCGGAAUUACUGGGCGUAAAGGGAGCGUAGGCGGACAUUUAAGUCAGGGGUGAAAUCCCGGGGCUCAACCUCGGAAUUGCCUUUGAUACUGGGUGUCUUGAGUAUGAGAGAGGUGUGUGGAACUCCGAGUGUAGAGGUGAAAUUCGUAGAUAUUCGGAAGAACACCAGUGGCGAAGGCGACACACUGGCUCAUUACUGACGCUGAGGCUCGAAAGCGUGGGGAGCAAACAGGAUUAGAAACCCGUGUAGUCCCAU